rnacentral:rRNA from 1 species
ACGGAAGGCAGCAGUGGGGAAUAUUGCACAAUGGGGGAAACCCUGAUGCAGCGACGCCGCGUGAGUGAAGAAGUUAUUCGUAAUGUAAAGCUCUAUCAGCAGGGAAGAAAAUGACGGUACCUGACUAAGAAGCCCCGGCUAACUACGUGCCAGCAGCCGCGGUAAUACGUAGGGGGCAAGCGUUAUCCGGAUUUACUGGGUGUAAAGGGAGCGUAGACGGUCUGGCAAGUCUGAUGUGAAAGGCAGGGGCUCAACUCCUGGACUGCAUUGGAAACUGUCAGUCUUGAGUGUCGUAGAGGUAAGCGGAAUUCCUAGUGUAGCGGUGAAAUGCGUAGAUAUUAGGAGGAACACCAGUGGCGAAGGCGGCUUACUGGACGAUAACUGACGUUGAGGCUCGAAAGCGUGGGGAGCAAACAGGAUUAGAUACCCUGGUA